rnacentral:rRNA from 2 species
CCAAGGAGUCUAGCGUGUGCGCGAGUCAUUGGGAUAACACUAAACCUAAAGGCGCAAUGAAAGUAAAAGUUCGUCUUGCGCGAACCGAGGGAAGAUGGUCGGCCCAUUGCGGGUCGGCCCGCAUUCCCGGGGCGUCUCGUUCUCAUUGCGAGAAGAGGCGCACCAAGAGCGUACACGCUGGGACCCGAAAGAUGGUGAACUAUGCCUGGUCAGGACGAAGUCAGGGGAAACCCUGAUGGAGGUCCGUAGCGAUUCUGACGUGCAAAUCGAUCGUCGGAACUGGGUAUAGGGGCGAAAGACUAAUCGAACCAUC